rnacentral:tRNA from 1 species
GGAGACGUCGCAUAGUCCGGCCGAGUGCACCACCCUGCUAAGGUGGAGUCCCCUCUAAGGGGACCGAGGGUUCAAAUCCCUCCGUCUCCG